rnacentral:rRNA from 1 species
UGUAGCCUACGGGAGGCAGCAGUGGGGAAUAUUGCACAAUGGGGGAAACCCUGAUGCAGCAACGCCGCGUGAGAGAAGAAGUAUUUCGGUAUGUAAAGCUCUAUCAGCAGGGAAGAGAAUGACGGUACCUGACUAAGAAGCCCCGGCUAACUACGUGCCAGCAGCCGCGGUAAUACGGAGGGGGCGAGCGUUAUCCGGAUUUACUGGGUGUAAAGGGAGCGUAGACGGUACUGCAAGUCUGAAGUGAA